GUAAGAUACCUGUUGGACCUUACAGGGGCACUUAACCCCUGAGCUACAUCCCCAGCCUUUUUUAUUUUUUAUUUUCAAACAGGUCUUGCUAACUUGCUGAGGCUGGCCUCCAACUUGACAUCCUCCUGCCUCAGCCUUCCAAAUGGCUGGCAUUACAGAUGUAUGCCACCACGCCUGGCUCUCUUCUCAGCUUUGUGAGAUUGGGCUGUCCCACAGCAGGGGAGUCUUUAACUAGAGAACUCUACACAAAGCUUGUGUCACUGUGGACUGAUUACACAUAAGCACAAAUAAAGAAAUUCCAAUGAUUCAUAAUCCCAGCACCCACAAAUCCCAAUCAUUAACAGCUUUACUCUAAAGAAAGACAGUUGGAUUCCUACCUCACAAUACUGAAAGCUAAGUUGUACUUUUAGGGAGGAAAAACUUACUUUCUCAAUUAAAAAAUAAAAUAGUGGUUGGAUGGUAGAUGGGAAGGAAAAUAGACUUACAUUCAUAUAUAUAUACACACACACACACACACACACACACACACACACAAAUUCACGUAUACAGCCAAUCCUCUGUAUUCUAUGUCCCACAUCCAGAUACAAGUAACCGAGGACUAAAAUAUUUGAAAAAAAUAAUUUUAUCCAUACUGAACAUUUACACACUUUUUGUUAUUUUCCUAAACAAUAUUGUAUAGCAACUAUUUAGAUGGCAUUUAUAUUAUAAUAGGGUAUUAGUAAUCUAGAGAUGAUUUAAAGUACACAGAAAGAUAUACGAAGGUUAUAUGAAAAUAUUAUGCCAUUAUAUAUAAGGCCCUUGAGCCGUGUAUGUAAUGGUGUCCCCGGGAGGUCCUGGAAGGGAUCCUCCAUGGAUCCUAAGAGAAAACUGUACUGAAUUUGAGUGACCUCUGAGUUCUUAAGGAGUUGCUGUCCAAUCAGGAGUUGGAGGGGACAGGUCCAUACCCAGUAGCUCACGGUAGCACUAAUGUUCACUCUCUUUGUUCAUUUAUUCAGUAUUAAUUGGGGGUCUUUAUGCCAGGCACCAUGAUUACUGAGGUAGGUAGAUAGGGCCACUGUCCUUGGAAGAGCUUGCAUUUGAAUUGGGGGUAGGCGUGUGAGGUGGAGUGGGGGAGCUCAGCAAGCGUGUGAGGUCCUGCACGCACCUUCCUACUCUAGAAGGAAGAAGGACUCUCCAGGGGUAGGACUUUGACAAAUGCCCACACAUGCAAGGUGGGCAGAGGAAAGCAGAGCAGCCAGUCACAGGGUAAGAGGUCAGAGAAGGAGGCAUCAAAGAAGAUGGUGGUCAGCGGGGCUGAUACUG
rnacentral:lncRNA from 1 species